CUAGUUUUUUUUAGGAUUUCUUAUAUAUAACAAGAGAUGAAAAAUGGGGAAGCCCUCAAACCCCGAUUCUCCCUUUUUCCCUUGUGUUGAUAUUCUCAUGUUCCUCCCCUCACUGUUCGCUCACCAUCGAUCUCUCUCAUGGCAGUUCUCUCGUUGCAGUUCAUCCAUAUUUGGUGGUAGUAAGUCCAAACACCAAAGUUGAUCUUAUUCGCUAUGUGGGUUGGCUUCGUAAUAUGAGGAAUUUGAGAAGAUUGGAGAAGGAACUUAUGGUGUAGUUUACAAGACACGUGAUCAGGUCACGAAUGAGACUAUUGCUUUGAAGAAGAUUCGUUUGGAGCAAGAAGAUGAGGGAGAGCCAAGCACAACCAUUCGUGAAAUUUCACUAUUGAAGGAAAUGCAGCAUGGCAACAUUUGUGAGGUACGUGUCACUGUUAAUUAUCUACCCUCAUUCAACUAAUAAUGGUGGUACAAUUUUUGCACAAUACUGUAAGAGACAUUCUUCUUCAAUCUACUCAAUAUAUGAGGUUAUUUCUAAUUUAGUUCAAA